rnacentral:rRNA from 1 species
AGUGAACGCUGGCGGUAGGCCUAACACAUGCAAGUCGAACGGCAGCACAGGAGAGCUUGCUCUCUGGGUGGCGAGUGGCGGACGGGUGAGGAAUACAUCGGAAUCUACUUUUUCGUGGGGGAUAACGUAGGGAAACUUACGCUAAUACCGCAUACGACCUACGGGUGAAAGCAGGGGAUCUUCGGACCUUGCGCGAUUGAAUGAGCCGAUGUCGGAUUAGCUAGUUGGCGGGGUAAAGGCCCACCAAGGCGACGAUCCGUAGCUGGUCUGAGAGGAUGAUCAGCCACACUGGAACUGAGACACGGUCCAGACUCCUACGGGAGGCAGCAGUGGGGAAUAUUGGACAAUGGGCGCAAGCCUGGUCCAGCCAUACCGCGUGGGUGAAGAAGGCCUUCGGGUUGUAAAGCCCUUUUGUUGGGAAAGAAAUCCAGCUGGUUAAUGCCCGGUUGGGAUGACGGUACCCAAAGAAUGAGCACCGGCUAACUUCGUGCCAGCCGCCGCGGUAA